GGUACUAUAGUGUAGUGGUUAUCACUCGGGAUUUUGAUUUCUCCUCGAGAGUGGAUUUCCCGGAACCCAGGUUCGAACCCUGGUAGUACCU